rnacentral:rRNA from 1 species
AACGAACGCUGGCGGCAUGCCUAACACAUGCAAGUCGAACGAGACCUUCGGGUCUAGUGGCGCACGGGUGCGUAACGCGUGGGAACCUGCCUUUAGGUUCGGAAUAACAGUGAGAAAUUACCUGCUAAUACCGGAUGAUGUCUUCGGACCAAAGAUUUAUCGCCUUUAGAUGGGCCCGCGUUGGAUUAGCUAGUUGUGGGGUAAAGCCUACCAAGGCGACGAUCCAUAGCUGGUCUGAGAGGAUGAUCAGCCACACUGGGACUGAGACACGGCCCAGACUCCUACGGGAGGCAGCAGUGGGGAUAUUGGGACAAUGGGCGAAAGCCUGAUCCAGCAAUGCCGCGUGAGUGAUGAAGGCCUUA